UCGCUGAACUGAGGCAGAGCAGACACACUCAUGCAGAAGACAUGCCUCCUCACAGGCUGCUCUGUGUGCUGGUGGCCUUGGCUUUCUCUGGAUCUAAUGUGGCCGAGAAAGUGACUCAGGUCCAGUCAACAGCAAGCAGGCAGGAGGGAGAAGAACUUACCCUGGACUGUUCAUAUGAGACAAGUCAGACUAAUUAUUAUCUUCUCUGGUAUAGACAGAGUCUUAAUGGAGAGAUGGUUUUCCUUAUUCUCCAAAUUUCUUUUUCUACUGCAAAAGAGAGCAGUGGCCGCUAUUCUGUAGACUUCAAGAAAUCCAUCAAGUCCAUCAGCCUUGUCAUUUCAGCCUUACAGACAGAAGAUUCAGGAAAGUAUUUCUGUGCUCUCUGGGAUCUGGCACAGUGUUUGAAGUGA